rnacentral:rRNA from 1 species
AACGAACGCUGGCGGCAUGCCUAACACAUGCAAGUCGAACGAGACCUUCGGGUCUAGUGGCGCACGGGUGCGUAACGCGUGGGAAUCUGCCCUUGGGUUCGGAAUAACAGUUAGAAAUGACUGCUAAUACCGGAUAAUGACGUAAGUCCAAAGAUUUAUCGCCCAGGGAUGAGCCCGCGUAGGAUUAGCUAGUUGGUGGGGUAAAGGCCUACCAAGGCGACGAUCCUUAGCUGGUCUGAGAGGAUGAUCAGCCACACUGGGACUGAGACACGGCCCAGACUCCUACGGGAGGCAGCAGUGGGGAAUAUUGGACAAUGGGCGAAAGCCUGAUCCAGCAAUGCCGCGUGAGUGAAGAAGGCCUUCGGGUUGUAAAGCUCUUUUACCCGGGAAGAUAAUGACUGUACCGGGAGAAUAAGCCCCGGCUAACUCCGUGCCAGCAGCCGCA